AUGCUUCUGCUCAUAUCCAACAAUUCCAUUCUUCUGUUAACACCAAUACAAGUGAACCUUACCCGGAACACGAUUGGUACAGCUGACCUUCAUCAGGGCCUUUACUUCCUUUGUCUUCCUUCUUAUGCUUCUGCCCCCAAUCCUAAUAUUUACCUUAGUAAUUCUGCACAUAAACUCAGCAACUAUACAGGUUCAGACAUUCAAGAAAUAUCUCACAUUAAAAAGGUCAUGGACAUUACUUUCAGCACAAAGGACUUGGAUUGA